GCCUGACAAAUCGAUCUGUCCCAUCAUUCGAUGAUGUAUUCAUUUUUACUUAGAUAACACUUAUAAGUCUUAAGCCGGUUUUCCACUUCGUCCGUAUCGUACCGAAACGUACUGGUGAGCAUGCGCAGAUUGAAAAGAGGUUUAUAAAUCCACGUACUUCCGGGUGUAUUCGCGUAUCAAAAUAAAAAGUUCGUCGCAAGUCAACUACGGCGUACUACGGAAGUACUAACCAAUCAACAUUCAAGAAAUUUUGAAAUUUAAAAACGUUUUUGAUACGUUUCGGUACGGUACGCUUGAAGUGGAAAACCGGCUUUA